ensembl:lncRNA
CCGAACGUUAGCUUUUUUUUUUUUCCAUCUGACAAUAGUUUUUACCCAUCAAAAAUCCUAAAAGUACGGUGUCCCUUUGUCAAGAUUAUCUCACUAUAACCUUUCAUUUCUGAUAUAACCUAAAAUCCUAUGAAAAAAGCAUUCUGCUGAGGGAACCAGUGCGGUUCGAACUUCUCCGUUUCAGACCAAAAUACGUCAUCCCUGCAGCACUGACGGCUGAGCGAUGAUUCUCUGUGAGUUUGUCUAGUAGCUACCACUUUCACAUUAAGCAGAAUCAUUUGACUCAUUAUUGCAGCCUGAAAACAUCAUCCUAAACCCACGAGCCUCGCAAAGUCAGCCCAAUUCUCAAUAGCUGAGAUUUCAGUCUGGGGAACUUCGAUAAAAAAAAUCUGUUGAGCUUAGCUCUGCGGGUAAAACAAACAAACAGACAAAUCAGUGUCCUACGGGGAGAUGAUUAGAUGGUGCUCUGACUAAAACGGGAACUCUCGAAAUGCUAUUAAAAUCUAUUUAAACCGGGCAUUGUGCGUAUGAAAAAGAGGCCAAAUUCUGCUGCUACGUGGAUUCUUCCUCACGCUCAUCACUCUGCAGACAGACUGAAUGAGAAGUAGCCAAGAGCAGCUCUGAAGAUCAAUAUGUGAUUGUGACAGAUGGCGGGGUGGGGGGGGGGUCCUAUAAGUCUCCAGCUGGACAAAGGUAUUGAUCAUCACGAGUCCACUUAUCAAGGAAUAUUGAUUGAACUCUGCGGGGUGCUGCUGCAGACACUCUUUUGCUUAUUAAUGUGCAUCGUUUUCUUUCCCUUUUUUAAAGCAAUACUGUGUUCAUCCUCAGCUGCAGUGACGCGACAUCCCCACCGCACCGAGUCGGUCUGUCGCCCUCCUGGCUGCGCCCGAGCCCAUCACCGAGGAGUCCCGGAAACAGUCACAGACACAUCUUGGAGUCCUUGCUGGUGUGUGCCUCCAUCAUGUUCCUCGUGGGCAUGGCCAUAUUGGCGAGGAAGUUGUGGAAACAACACAGGCGUGAUCCUGUGCUGAGACAAGUAAAUAGGAUAAAAGCAAGGCACAAUGAGUUCUCAGGGGAUGUAGAUGACCCGCAAAGCACUGGUGUCGUUUUCCUUAAUGUGGAUUCCCAGGACGUACAUAUGUACUGAGCGUAGGGUUUAUUGUUACUCUUUGUUACCGAAUGUAAUUGUUUGUCUCGGUUCACUGCACACAGCACACUUAUUUCCACUGUCUUUGUGUACGUUACGUUCAAUGAGGAUUUCUCAAAAUAUAAUCACGCGGUCUUCUAUUUCAAUUUUUUUAAUGGCACUGAGGUCAGGAAUUUUAUUUUUUAUUUUUUGUCGGAAUUUGUUUUGUUUUUUUGUAUAUUGGUGGAGCUUACAUUCUAACUGAUAACUAAUUUUUAUUAUUAUUAUUAUUAUUAUAAGUAUUAUUAUAAAUACAUUACAUUAAACAUUUGGAUUGGUUAUUUAAACACUAGAUUUGAAUUCAUGUGGGAAAACACUUAUUUUACAGGUCCAUUAUUAACUAAUCAUUUUCCAUGAAGUAUCGUGAAAAGAAAUGAGCAAAGUGGUGCUACUCACAGGGGAAAUAGAGACCCCUUUGCCACAUGCACUGGGACCCUGAUUUGAUCUAGACUAUAGCCUGAGAAUGCCAAUGUCCAAAUCAGUUAGACAUUAAACAGACAUAACCCUGCAGCCCGUGAGUGAAGAGAGGCGGGCAUUACCCGUAGAACUCAUGAGUAGUGAGAGCGUGUGUUUUUGAUGAUGCGAUUGGCACAACGCCAGAAGAGUACAACACAUCCGAGGGUAAUGAAGCGUUUAUGCGACAACAAAAAAACGUAUAACUCGAGAGACGACGAGAUUUGGGGAUCUCGCGACGGGAAGGGCAGACGGCUAAACUGUCAGAAGAAUUCAAGGAUCAGCUCAGAGACUUUGUUGUUGACGACCAAAUCGCUAACCGGCGAUGUGACCGCGGUGUAAUCCGAGCCGAGGCGCACUUUAAAAACAAUAUCACGACUGCGGUGACAAAGAGAAUAGAGGCAAAACUCCAAGGUGCUUUUUAAAAAAAAAAAAAUUUGGAGGGGGGGGGGGUCAAUCGCUGCUAGAUAGCUCUUUGAUGAGAGACGCAUGGACGGCGGGAGAGAGGGUGUGGGAUGACAUGCAGCAAAGGAAUCAACGAGGCCAACGAAAAGUGGAUCGGACGCAAGGCAUUAGGAGGUCAUUUAGUCACUAUUUGAGCGCAGACACGGAGCGCACGCUCAACCGGGUGAGCUACCAAUUGACCUCUGCUGGCGCGAUUACACCAGAGGUCACGUUAAUCGGGGAAACAACUAAUUCAUCUGCUUUGUGUGUUAGUGGCCGCACUGUGGGUGUCUCAAAAUCUAUAAUCCUUGUUCGGUAUAUUGGUGAUUGAAAAACACAAACACACAUAAAUCAACGACAUAUCCAUAUUAGUUUGGCCUUGAGGGCUUUCAAAGAAACAUGUUCACUGCGGUCAAAACAAAAACUCUCUCAAUUGCUUCUCUCGGGAAGGCUCGCAUUCAAAAACUUCAUUCAAAAACCUCAAUGGAAGCUGUCAAUGUAAACCAAUAAAUACAUUAUGGGUACAUGAAAUACAGCUCCUAGGGUGGUAUUUCAUGUCAUUUCUUUGUUUCACAUUUACAGAUCCAGUUGGCUUUGUAUGAACACUUUUAUUGUCAUUGCGCACACAUCGAACAGCCGUGAAGAGAUAUUCGCUGAAUUUGACAAAAAAAUGUAUUGGAUUAGAAUCGCUGACUGAAUGUUUUUCAACACUGUCAUUGAGAAAGUAAGGAAUGCAACACUGGAUUACAGGCGAUUCUGUAUCACGUGGGACGUACUGUAUGAAGCUGAACUUAAGUCUGUGGUGUAUGUCUGUGCUUAUGCUGUAUCUUCUCUGACAUCCGAUUUGUAAUGUAAUAAACCUAAUUUCAAGUUUUCCACAUCAUGUAUGUAAUGAACCGUGCUGCUCAAAAAACAAGACCCUUCAGGACUAAUGAUUUGAGUAAUAAUAAUCAUUACACUGUCUCCAAACUGCUUUGCGUUUGUUGUGUAUAUCUGUUGCACCAAAAAAGUCCAGUGUGAAUAAAUAUUAA